UUGACAUUGUACGUUGUUGUCCGUCAACCCCCAGCUUCUACUGGGCCUGCUUGAUUAGCAUGUUUCCUUGGUAGGAAUAUCUGUGCUGCUUCUCAGCCUCCUCGCCCUCGCCUUCUAAGAGGUAACUGCUGCCGAAGGUCAGGCCAACAACCGGUACCCGGUUGCUCCUAAUGGUCCAGAUCUGGGGUGCCUACUAUGUGCCAGCUACGUGUCCCAUUUUCCACGUAGCUAGAAAACCCAGUGAAAUGGCUUUCACCUUCACUUCAUGACAGAAAACGGAGUUCUGAAAGGAAACAAUGAGGCACGGACCAUUGGUAAAUGGAAAUAGUUUGCACCAUUUUGGAAUUCUAAAGAAGAAUGGCACAGCACAAUGAAUUGUAAAUCUUCCACUCUGGAUCAUGCUAAACUCUUCCAAAUGUAUUUCCUGGAUGAUUUAGUCCUCAUUUCUUCCCAUCUGAACCUGAAACUGGUGAUUAACCAGGGCCCUCGUUUAUACUUGUCUUAAAAUCCCACCAUAAACUCAAUCAGUUGUUCGACAAAUGUUUUACUGCCUUGAUUUGUGGACUCGCCCAAAUGAGACUUCCCCUCACGUCCAAGGAGGCUGGCCUGGAGGAAGCCAAAAUGUCCGAGGAUAAUGUUUAAAGAUCUCACCACAGAUUUGGACGUUCUCGCUCCCUCCACCAACUCCACACGUUGCAGUUUUCAAGCCCCCUUUCUGCCCAGGCUGCUGAGCCUGCUGAGCCGAGGCGGAGCAUCCAGCCAGUGGACUGAAGGCUCGAACACAAUGAUUUUAUUUUCUGUAACCAACAGCACCAAUACCUAGGAAAAAUAGGCUAUUUUUACAUAAUGACAUAACUUGCUGCACACGUUAAGGCGCUCCAUUUGUUAA